rnacentral:lncRNA from 1 species
CGUAACGGAACACAUGCUCUAUAAAACCGAAUCAUAUCUUUGGAUCACCAACACCAAGUAGCAUAACAUAGCCACCGUUUAUGUUUUUUUCUUUUCUUUCUGAAACCUUAGUUUUUUAGCUUCUUUACUUUCGAUUUGUUUAAUAUGUAACAUGUCUAUGUUUCUGUUUUGUUAAUUUUCUCGAAAUUUUUAUUUUUAUGAAGGAAAAUGGUUUAAAUCGUGGUUUUUCUCAGUGAUGAUGAAUAAUUGAUGACGAGUCCGAUCCAUUCAUAAUCAUGACGACAUAUCGAGGCAUUUGUCUGAGAGGU